rnacentral:lncRNA from 1 species
UUAAGACCAUAUAGGUUUUAUUCCACUUUUUUCUUUUUCUUUUCUUUUAUACUUUUUACUUUUGCUGAUUACAUAUUAUAUUUAUUACAUGCAAAUUUAUCAAAUGUCUAAUAUUCACAUAGCAUGCUUGAAAAUAAGAACAAUUCUACUUAUCUGAACAUAGAAGCAUAUAAAAUAGACAAAUCAGAAUCAUAUUAAAUUAGCU